UUAAAAAUAACACUGUUGGGAAAUGAGAUAGAGACUCGCUGGACACAGAGUGGCCGCAAACCUUCAGUCUGGUUAAAAAAAAAAAGCACACAACAUCCGCAGAGCACAGUGAAACACAGCACAUUGGAACCAGGCCUGCCUGUCAUCGUGACAGCAUCUCCCGGGCAGUGGCGUAGGCUUCUCUCGAUGCACCAGGCAACGAUGAAUGUUCUGUUCCUUUCUCAGAACUCUUGGGAACGACCGUUGCUUACAGGGGAGGAUCUGAUCAGAGCAGAUGAGUCGUUUUCUCCAAGCAACAUGGUUAGUGAGCAGAGCUUCCCUGGGUCUGGGAAAGGGUACAGCCCCAUCGGCUGGAAACAUCACAUCCACACCACCUGAGAGAAUUCUCACAUAACUCCUGUAAACCUAGGCUUCCUUGGUGAAGCCCCAGCCUUCCAAGGAGAGCCAGAGUGACAGCAAGCCACCAGUCUGGUGAAUUGUCUCCCUGUGUCUUUUGGAAACAGAACUGUUUUGUCUUCACCAGGAAGGAGUUUGGAAGCCACACUUUAAAGAUGAUAGGGGCCAUGAGAUGAAAAGAGCCAGGGUCCCUGCGUCACUGGAUAAAGCCUGGUCACCCCACUGAUCAAGAAUACCCAGUCUGGACUUUAUGGCAAUCGUAAAUGUAAAUCGACUUAAUACGACUUGAUUGCUGGUGAUGACUCUCUCUCUGAUGGUGCCAGCCAGAAGUGCGGCUCAGAAGGACGUGGACAGGCACUCCCCUGCACCAGACAUCCUCAGGGACCUGGGCAUUUCCGAUUUUAAAAAAAUGAAAAUAUUGCUUCAUGAUAUAGCUGAUUCCUACCAGCAGAAUAACAGUUGAUGUAGCAAAAUCAUUGGACACUCAGAAGACAAGGUGUUUGCCCACCAUUUGGCGAAGGUGGCUUGUCUGUGCCUUCCCCUCACCAAAAGAGUUCUCUACGAAAUUUCUUUACAAACUCACAUCCCAUCAUCUGCCUUGAUUAAACGUUUGUUUAUUGUAAUAACUUUGAAA